rnacentral:lncRNA from 1 species
AGAUUGCUCUACAUUUUAAAUUGAUGUAAUGUUUGCAUUUUUCAAUUAAAUGGAGUCACAUGAAACGACCGUACUGCAUUACCUCUGGAUAUCCUUGUUGCUUACUUUGAUUAUAUAUAUAUUCAUGAUCAGAGGCAUUCAUAAACGAAAGUACUACUGUAUUAAAUGAAUGUAAGAAAGACGAGAUAAAGCACGAUUUAUUUGUGAUCAGAGGUGUUUGAAAGUGUUUCCACCCAGUCAUUAUCAAGGUAAUAUUAUUCCUUGAUAAUAUUUAAAAAUUAUUGAAACACAUCUGCAGAUUGUUACAAAAUAAUUCCAGCAAAUGUAACUUCUCAGAACCAAAAACUUUUGAGUACCUUCUUUUAAUAGUGACCGUCUGGUUCAUGAACUUGUACUAUAUAUAUAUAUAUAUAUAUAUAUAUAUAUAUAUAUAUAUAUAUACACACACACUCACAUACAUAUUCAUACAUACAUACACAUAUUAAAUGUCUUAAAGAGAAUGAGCUAAAAUGGAGAAUACUUGAAAAUAGAGACACCAUUAUAUAUAUGGAAACAUAUAAGCAUCUAAUCCAAAACCAUUAGUCCAACAACAUAGAUUUUGUCGGACUAAUGAUUAUGGAUUAAAUGUGCAUUUACUCUCAGACUUAUCUGAGUUCUUUAUUCUAAGUGGCUGGACAUAGCUUCUUCGACUUUGUCGUCCCAUGGAAUAACAUGUAAACACAUAAUGUGUAUAUUAUACAUACAUGUAUUAUUAUUAUUAUUAUUUUAUCCAGAUAAAGCCUUUCCUGUCACAGCAGCAGUAAAUUGGUCUGAAGCUUCUCUAUUCAUUAGUGACAACAAAAAAUGAAAAGCAAAACAUAAAGGUUACCAUAGGAGAAUUAAUCACACACAUAUAUAUAUAUGUGACUCAGUGAUGGAAUACAAAGAACCUAUGGAAGAAGUUGAAACUUCAAGAUUUCACUUAUGGAUUUUAUAGAAAAUCCAAAAUCAACAUUAAAGAAAAUAAUUAAAAACAUAACUGAAUACUCCCAGACAUUUUGUUUGGCACUCUGAUAAUUGUUUCUAAUAUAGGCACAAUAAUUCUUAGGGGGCGACUUCAGUACUUGACUGGCACUGGCAGCAUUUGAACUAGGAAUGUAAAUGGCUGGAACAAAUAGAGCAUAGCAUUUUUCCAAUGAUCUUAUGAUUCUGUCAGCUUGCCUCCUUCAACUGCCACUCUAAUAAUAAUAAUAAUUUGAGCAUGGCCAUUGCCAGUACCACCUAACUGGCCCUCGUGCUGGUGGCAUGUAAAAGCACCCACUACACUCACAGCGUGGUUGGUGUUAGGAAGGACAUCUAGCUGUAGAAAUCUUCCAGAUCAGAUUGGAGCCUGGUGCAGCCUUCUGAUUCACCAGUCCUCAGUCAAAUCAUCCAACCCAUGCUAGCAUGGAAAGCAGACAUUAAAUGAUGAUUAUUAUUAUUAUUAUUAGUUUGAGAUAAUGCAUUGUAAAGAAGGUGCACAGCUAAGUGGUUAGGGUAUUUGGCUCAAGGUUGUGAGUUCAAUUCCCAGCAAUGCAUUGUGUUCUUGAGCAAGACACUUUAUUUCAUGUUGCUCCAGUCCACUCAUUUGGCAAAAAUGAGUAGUGCCUGUAUUUCAAAGGGCCAGCCCUGUCAUAUUCUGUGUCACUCUGAAUCUGCCUGAGAAAUACAUUAAGGGUACACAUGUCUGUGGAGUGCUCAGCCACAUUAUUGUUAAUUCCACAGAUCAACUGGAACCCGUCUUGUUGUAAGCGAUGGAUUGACAGCUAGCUAAGGAAUAAUAUGUCAUAGAUAUUAGUUUAUGCAAAGCAAAUUUAGUGGAGAGCACAUUAACUAUCGAAAAAUAUAUUUAAAACAAGCAUCAUUAUCAUUUUAUGCUUGUGUUUUAGGAUAGCAUAAAUUGGACAUGGCAUUAUGAUCCUGGUUGGAUCUUAUUUGGAGUUACUACUCUCCCACCCAACCCCACCCAAUUCUUGCAGAGAACCAAUGUCUCAUUUCAUUUUGGUAUGAUUUUUGCUGCUUGAUGGCCUUCCGAAUGCCAGUUACCUUACUGUUACAUGUGUGUGUGUGUGCAGAUGCACGUGUGUGUAUAUGACUAUGUGUAUGUUUGUUAAGUGCCAAUUAAGGUGCUCGUCAAAAGAUGUUAACUAUAGAGAUGUGUACAACAAUCCAAUGCAAAUGACUACAAAAGAAAAAUUAGAUGUGGAAUCGUAAUUAACAAAAGCUUAAUUAUUGCUGAGUGGUUGAUUAAUAAUUAGAUUAGAUAGUUAUAUUAUUAUAAUAAUCUAAACAAACUCUCGAAAAUAGACGUACAUGAAUGUAUACUAAUUUAUAUUAAUUAUAUAUGAAUAACAGUGGGUAAAAUGGUUCAUAAAGAAAGUAAUUUUGUUGUAUGUGCAGAACAUUUUCUUAUUAAUUAAUACUCAUUAAGGUAAUGAGCUGAAUCAUUAGCAUGUCAGACAGAAUGCUUAGUGGCAUUUUUUCCAGCACUUUAUAUUUCUGAGUUCAAAUUCCACCCAGGUUGACUUUGCCUUUUAUCCUUUCAGGGUCAUUAAAAUAGGUUCCAUUUGAGUAUUUGAACCCCUCUUGCUAAAAUUGUUGGCUGUGCAUAAACAAUAGAAAGAAUUAUUACAAGAGCAGAAUAUUGGCACAAUUGUCAACACAUUGGCUAAAAUUCUUCAUAGUAUUUCUUCCAGCUCUUUUAUAGUCUGCAUUCUAAUUCCACCAAGGUCAACUUUGCCAUUUAUCCUUUCAGGGUUGAUGAAAUAAGUACUAGUUAUGCAUUAGAGUAGAUAUAAUUAAGUUGUUCCUUCUCUUCAAAUUCCUGGCUUUAUGCCAAAAUUAGAAAAAAAAAUUUAAUACUCAUUUCUGUUAAUUGGUUUUAAAUUGUUUUAUUGAUUUCAGAUUUUGGUAUCCUUUUUAACCCUUUCGUUUCCAACCUGGCUCUGUAGUAUAAAUGUCUUGUUUUCAUAAGUUUUGUAUUCAAAUCUGCCACCAAAUCUCAGUCACAAUUUAUGUUCCUAACACUAGCUUAACGAUAACGAUGUUAUUUUACUAAAUUUUUUGUUAUAUUUAAAAUUAAUUGAAAGAAACACAGAGCAUCUCAAAAGAAAUAUGGUAACAAAAGGGUUAAAAUAUAUAAUAGAGAAACAAUUCUUAACCCUUUCGUGACCAACCUGGCUGAAACCAGCUCUGUCUCUGUAGUACAAAUGUCUUGUUUCAUAAGUUCUGAAUUAAACUCUUCCACCAAACCUUUAUCACAAUUUAUGUUCCUAACACUAACUUAAUGAUAACCAAGUUAUUUUACUAAAUUAUUUGUUAUAUUUAAAAUAAUUGGAAGAAACACAGAACAUCUCAACAGAAAUAUGGUAACAAAAGGGUUAAAGUAAUGUUUGUUUUUGUUUUCCCUUACAAGUGAGAAAGAUCAAGAGAAUUCUUAAAAUUUCACCUUUUUCCAUUAUUUCUCAUUAUUCUUUCAAUGGGUAACUAAUAAGGGAUUAGUUCUCUCAAAAUAGCCCUUACCAUCACCUCUGAAAAAAGGGAGCUAUGUUGUGACCAGAAAUACUUUGCAACUAGAUAAGUUAUUAACAUGUAUUUUAAUAUAAAUAACAAUGUCCAUAUAUUCAAGUAAUUUCAGAUAUUCAUCAUAUUUGAUUAUAUUAUUGCUUUGAACAAGAAUAAUCUUUAUCAUAUUAAUUGAGCUCUCUGCUAAAAAUGCUUUGCACAAAGAAAUACUUUCAUUGUAUAUGGGAGAUAUGUUAUUUCAAGAAUGUUUGCCUUUCAUCUUUCUGAGGUUGAGGAAAUAAAGUACCUGUCAAAUACUAGGGUCUAUUUAAAUUGACUAACUUCUCCAACCCCUUAAAAUGUGGCCCUAUAUAAAAUAGUUUAUAUGUAAAUAUUUUAAAUAUUCAUUGUAUUAUUCAAUUAUUUACAAUUACGUAUUGUUGAGGUGAUGGAGUAAGCAGCAGAAAUAUUAGAGUGACAGACAGAUAUAUUGUGUUGCACUUACAUAUGACCCGUAGCAUUCUGGGUUCAAAUCAUACUAGGGUUUGCUUUGCCUUUCACCCUAUUGAGUGCAUGUGAGCAGAAAGGUAAUAAAAUAGAUAAGUACCUGUUAAAUACAGGGGAGCAUAAAAUCUAUGUUCAGAUCCCUUUCCUCCAAAAAAAAAAAAAAAACACAUUAGAAAUCAUCGUUAUUAAGGUAACGAGCUGGCAGAAUUGUUAACACACCUGGCAAAAUGCUUAGUGACAAAGGACAGUGGAGACACAUGUAAACAAUAAAAAUAAUGACAACUACAAAUAUGAUUAUUAUUAUCAUCAUCAUUGUUAUUAAGACAGCAUGCUGACAGAAUAGUUAGUAAGCUAGAUAAAAUGCUUAGGGGCAUAGACAAAAUGCUUAGGGGCAUAGACAAAAUGCUUAGGGGCAUUGGGCAUUUUGUCUAUCUUUAUGUUCUGAGUUCAAAUGCCACUGAGGCCGACUUUGCUUUUUAUCUUUUUAGGAUUGAUAAAUUUAGUACCAGUCAUGUACUGGGGUCAUUGUAAUCAACUAGCUCUCUUCCCAAAAAUUUCAGGCCUUGUACCUUUAGUAGAAAGGAUUAUUAUUUUCAUCAUUAUCUUCAUCAUUAUUCUUUCUAAAAUAGGCCAAAUGGUUAGGUAGGAGAGAAAACAGUUGAAUGUAUUAACAUCAGUACUUGACUGGUUCUUUAUUUUACUAAACCCUGAAAGAUAAAUAAUAUAAUAAUAAUAAUAACUGUUUCAGGUUUUGGCCAGUAAUUAGUACUUUCUUUUAUUGACUCAAGAGGAUUAAAGACAAUUGGUUUUGAUGGUAAUUGAACUCAAAACAUGAAGAACAAGAAGAUAUGACACUAAGCUUUUAUCUGAUGCUCUCGUAUUUUCACCUGCUUACUAUCCAACUACAGCUAAUAAUAAUAAUAAUAUAUUUCUAAUGUAGGUAUAAAGCCAGAAUUAUGGGAUGAGGAGGGAGUAGAUAAAUUAUAUCAGUUCCAGUAUCUGGCUGGCAUUUAUUUUGUUGAUCUUAGAAGGAUGAAAUGGCAAAGUUAAACUCAGCAAGAUUCAAAAUCAGAAUUGAAAAAAAAAACAUAACUGAAUACUCCCAGAUAUUUUGUUUGGCACUCUGAUAAUUGUUUCUAAUUUAGGCACAAUAAUUCUUAGGGGACAGCUUCAGUACUCAACUGUCACUGGCAGCAUUUGAACUAGGAAUGUAAAUAGCUGGAACAAAUAGAGCAUAGCAUUUUUUCCAAUGAUCUUAUAAUUCUGUCAGUUUGCCUACUUCAACUGCCACUCUAAUGAUUAUAAUAAUAAUUUGAGCGUGGCCAUUGCCAGUACCACCUAAAUGGCCCUCGUGCCGGUGGCACGUAAAAGCACCCACUACUCUCACGGAGUGGUUGGUAUUAGGAAGGACAGUUGAUUAGAUCUACCCCAAUACACAACUGGUACUUAAUUUAUUGACCCUGAAAGGCAAAGUCAAACUUGGUGGAAUUUGAACUCCGAACAUAAAGACAGGUGAAAUACUGGUAAGCAUUUCACCUGGCAUGCUAAUGAUUCUGCUAGCUUGCCACCUAUAAUAAUAAUAAUAAUAAUAAUAAUAAUAACGAUACUUAAAUGGCUACAAGGGGUUGCAAAAAUAUUUAGGACAAUUCAAAGACAAAGAACAGUGGAGAUUAAUAUAAAUGCAUGUAAACGAUGACAAUUAACAAAAUUCCCCAAUAAAAGGGAAACACCACCCAGGGGCAACCAAGGAACCCAAAAAUAAUAAUGUGUGUAAUAGUAUGUGUGGGCUUUUCAGUUGAUUUUAGUUCAUUCUAGAAUGGUGGUGAUGCAACUGAAGUGAAGAGCAGGGUUCUAUUAGUUCUCUUUCCUUGUACUUGAGAUCCUUUGUAAAACCAGACUCAACCCUUGUAAACAACUGUAAGUGAAUACCAGAGACUGAACUAUGUCAUCUUUUGGUAUCUACCUACAGCUAGUUUUGAACUUGAUUGUUCAUAAUUAACCCUUUAGUAUUCAAAUUACUUAAUCAAAUGUAAUACUUAUUUAUUCACAUUUUAUAAAACUAAUCCUGUAAUUAUCUUGUAGCUUUUAUAUUUUAGAAUGACAUUGCAAGGUAGGUGUGAGAGGCCUGAUCUGGUCAGUUUUAGCAUAAAAUAGGUGGAAGAUUUGGGCCAGAUGUGGCCAGUUUAAAUGCUAAAGGGUUAAACUGUAGUGGUAACCCUAACAAAGUAAUGACUCCUUCAGCAGCUGAUCUGAUAUCCUCCUAUCCAUACAUCUAUGGUCUUCUAUCUAGAUAAUCAAUGGAUGUACAAGAAGUGGCUAACCUAAUCAACUCUGGUUAAUAUAUUUUUGUUUUCUCAAUGCCCUCUCUUUCACCAAAGAUCUUAGUAUACAUCCCAUUCACUGAACUAUUUCGUAAUUAUAUUUCUAAGAAACAGACAGCUUACAGGUUUCAGUUAAUUUUCAAUAUUAUCAGAUUUUGGAAAGGUUUAGUAAGUUGUCAGUAACUUUAUAUUUUGGUAUAUUUUAUGUUACUGUUGACCAACUAAAAUCUCCUGAUAUGAUUUUCAAAAGUGGCAAGCUGGCAGAAUCAUUAGCGUUCCAGACAGAAUGCUGAGCUGGAUUACAUCCAUCUUUUUGCUCUGAGUUCAAAUCCUGCUGAGGUCAAUAUCUUUCUUCCUUUUGGGGUCAAUAAACUAAGUACCAGUGAAACACCAGAGUUGAUGUAAUCAACUAGUCCCCUUCAACCAAAUUUCAGGCCUCGUGCUUUUAGUAGAGACAUUAUUAUUAUUAUUAUUAUUAAAGCAAUGGACUGCUAGAAUUGUUAGUAUGCUGGACAAAAUGUUAUCGGAGUUUCUUCUGCCUUUAUGUUCUGAGUUCAAAUGCUCCUGAGGUCAACUUUGCCUUUCAUCCUUUCAGGGUUGAUGAAAUAAAAAUCAGUUGAGCCCUGGGGCCGAUGUAAUCAACUGGCAGUAUUUGUUCCAGCUCUUUACAUUAGGAGUUCAAAUCUUGCCAUGGCCUACUUAGGUAGUAGACUUAACCCCCAACUUGGUUUAACACCACUGCCUGGCACUUGGCACAUCCUUUGUGGACUCAACUCAGGCAAAGCCUCAGGAUUGAGGACAUCAUCCUCCCUUCCUGAGCUUCUCUAGUCUUGGAGGCCCUAUAAAUGGUCAUGUGCACUGCCAUUUCUCUUUACUAAAAGACAAAUAUUAUAAUAUGGUUGUAUUUUGAGAGGGUUGUUAUGCCAAUAAUAAACACACACUGGUUCUAUUUCACUCCUUUAUUUGUCAAUUGGUUAAGCCUUUAACCAUAUAAUUAAUUAUUCAUUUGUUGUCAAAAUCCUUUUGCUGACAUUUGUAACCUCAUCAAUAACUUGCUUUCUCUGAUCCAGAUCUGCUUCAGGUCUAUCUGCCUUUCAAACUCCUCAAUGCAGACCGGCUGGGUUUUUUUAAAAAGGUUAAAGGUGACUUUCCUUGUACUAAAUAAGAUGUGAAGUUUAUUCCCAUUUUCACUGCUGUUAGCCAACAUUUUCAUCUACAGAAAUACAUAUUCCUGCCUGUUGUGAUAUUUUUUUUAUACUCAUGAUGAAAUUUGAAUUCAGCAUGGUAAACUCAAAACGUUCAUAAAUUAUCCAUUGGACCUGUGAUUUUUAACAUUCUACAGUGCCUCCACAUAGUACCUAUAGCUUCUUAAAACAUUAAACUAUACUGCCUAUGAUUCCCCCUAUAGCAUCAGGCUCUACUUCUCUAUCAUAUUUAAGGUUACUUAUAGUAAUAAACUGCAUUUGCCUAUGAAAACUGUAGCUGCUUAUAGUAUUAAACUGAACAUAGGACCUAUUGCUGCCUAUUGUAAUAAAUAGUGUUUUCCCAUGCUUUAUUGGCUGCCUUUAGGAUAGCUCUGUACUUCUUCAAGGUACUUAUUGUUGCUUAUAGUAUCAAAUUACCUCACUGACUCCUAAUGCUGUCUUUAGUAUUACACUGUACCUCUUCAUAGUACCCAUUACUGCCUAUAGUAUUGAACUGUACUUCUGUAGGUAUUAUAACAAUUACACAUUUCAUGCUACCUACUUGGAGUUAGAUUUAUUAGACUUGAGUAUUAGGUAUAUUUUUCCAGGAACGUAGCUCAGUGCCAUGCGUGAAAUUUGAACUGCUGAUGGUUCAGCUGACAGGCUGUUGUCCUAAUGACUCAGUUUAAUUUGUUUGUAUAAUACCUAGUCUCUUCUAUUGAAUAUACCUGAGAGAGGGAGAGGAAGUAAAACAACAAUAUACUGCUGUGGUUGCCAUAGUAACAUGGGCCAAUACUAACAAACAGUUAGAAACCAGAGAGCAAUCACAUUGAUUAUUUUCUUUCUGAUUGGCUAAAUUAUAUAAUCGUUGCUCUUUUGUGCUUGGUCAGUCAAUUUCCAUUGCUGUUUCAAAGCAGCAUAUUGAAUACUGGGCUCAACUUAUCAUUCUGUUCUGACUCACUAUAAUAAUGAACAUACAUGCAGUGCUCAGGUGUUGACAAGAGUGAUUCUACAAUUCUAUGCAUUCAUCCAGCCCACUAAAAAUGACAGCUAAAUUUCCCUCUCAAAUUACAUACACCCAACCAUCUUAGAUUUUUUUUUAAAAUGACACUUUGAAGAGUGAAGUCAUUAAUAUAAGAAAAGAUGGGAUAGGCAUGGCUAGAGCACUUUUAUUCAUAGGUCAUUUCAGUCAGAGUUGAUGUGUGGCUUAACAAGAACAUAGGCACUCUCUCUGUUUCUAUUCAAAUGUCACAGCUCAUGUACUUGCACAAAUCGCACAUACACAUGCUAACACACAUGCACAUAUACACUGGAAAACUUGAGCCAAGCAAGGUGCUUCAAUGUGGUUGCCCAGCCUGUUAGAAAUAACAGCCAAGUUCCAUCUAAUCAAACCUUAUCACCUUAUUAAAAAAAGGUGUGGCUGGAGGUCACAUUGAACAAUGUUGCUUCUAGAUAUACAAAAAGACAAUAUGGCUAUGACUUGAAUGCCUUUGAUCAAAUCAAAGGCAUGCUCUUUCAGGACUGACCUAGGGCUAAACAGCAACAUGAAUAAUAAUCAAAAUCAAUUUUUAUUAUUUUUUUUCUAUCAAUUCUCAGAACUUCAAGUUCAGUUUUUUAUCAGAGUUAAAUUAAUAAUCUAAUAAAAAUGAAAUAUAUACAAGCUAUUAUGUAGUUUUGUGGAGAUGCAUGGCUUAGUGGUUCGGGUGUUGGACUCUUCAUCAUAAAAUUGUGAUUUUGAUUCCUGGGCGGGAUGAUAUAUUGUGUUCUUGAGCAAAACACUUCAUUUCAUGCUGCUCUGGUCCACUCAGCUGGCAAAAAUGACUAGCAUCUUGUCCAGAGAGGAAAGUAUAUGCUAGAGAAACCAGGAAACCAAAACUGGCCCUAUGCUCCUUAUGAAAUAAUGUGGGCUAACCAGUUAUACAGUUUCAUUCAAAUUAACUAUUCCCCACUUAUAUAUAAGGAAAUUUGGCUUUGCAGUGCUACUGAUGAGACUUGAACUACUGACAACUUUGAUUACUAGCCUGACGCUUAAUUAUUUUAUUGAUGUUAAUUAAUUACUUUACAUGCAUAUCCAUCCUAUCUGAGGAUAGAAAAAUGUAUGUUAACUGUCAGUAAGGAAAAGAAAUCAGAAAAAUUGAAAUUAAGGUUCCUUCAGAAAUAUCUAUGGAAUUACAAGAUAAGGGAGUUAUCCUUAAACAUUUAACUGCUUAUAAGGAUGUGGGAGAAAUUCAACACUCCUGGAUAGAAUGCUAGUCUAUUACAGAUGAACUUCAGUGGAAUAAUCUACAGUAAAGAUAGUUACCAUUCUCUAGCUCAUAACCUUUGUGUUAACUGUCUGCAAUUAGUAGCUUGUAUCAUAGCUAAUCAGAUUAAUUAGGCAAUUUAUCUCUUCAUAUCACUGAAUAAAUAAAUAUAUACGUAAAUAAAUGAUUUGUUAAUCAUAAACAGCAAUGAUAUUAAAUAGAC